AAGACUAUAGACCUGCGGAGUACCUGCGGAGGGAUCAUUACUGAAUGAUCAUCCUUGAUCUUCUUACCCUCAAACCACUGUGGAACACAACAUGUGCUUCGGCGCCUUUUUGGCGUCGCCUUUAUGCUUCAACAAUGCCCUUUAUGUCUGAAGAAUCAAAAUGUCAAAACUUUUAACAAUGGAUCUCU
rnacentral:misc_RNA from 1 species